rnacentral:rRNA from 1 species
UACGAAGGGGGCUAGCGUUGCUCGGAAUCACUGGGCGUAAAGCGCACGUAGGCGGGUCUUUAAGUCAGGGGUGAAAUCCUGGAGCUCAACUCCAGAACUGCCUUUGAUACUGAGGAUCUCGAGUCCGGGAGAGGUGAGUGGAACUCCGAGUGUAGAGGUGAAAUUCGUAGAUAUUCGGAAGAACACCAGUGGCGAAGGCGGCUCACUGGCCCGGUACUGACGCUGAGGUGCGAAAGCGUGGGGAGCAA